rnacentral:rRNA from 1 species
UACGUAGGGUGCAAGCGUUGUCCGGAAUUAUUGGGCGUAAAGAGCUCGUAGGCGGUUUGUUGCGUCGGCUGUGAAAUCCCGAGGCUCAACCUCGGGUCUGCAGUCGAUACGAGCAAACUAGAGUGUUGCAGGGGAGACUGGAAUUCCUGGUGUAGCGGUGAAAUGCGCAGAUAUCGGGAAGAACACCCGUGGCGAAGGCGGCUCUCUGGGACGGUACUGACGCUGAGACGCGAAAGCGUGGGGAGCGAACAGG